GCAGCAGCCGUGAAGCAGCAGGUACAGAGAGCAGCGCCGAGUGAGUGUCCUGCAGGAGCUCCAGGUGUGGAGCUGCCCUUUCUUGAGCUACUUCACGGGAGAGCCGAGUGAGUGUCCCGCAGGAGCUCCAGGUGUGGAGCUGCCCUUUCUUGAGCUACUUCACGGGAGAGGUGUGUAAAUAGCAUAAAUAUCAGCGCGGUAAAGAACUGUACUUGCAAUAACAUAUGUACACAGGGAAUCUACAGCCUUAGGCAGCAUCUGAGCAGUGAUUUUAGGGAUCAUCUUCGCGUCUCUGGUGCCGCGCUGAGAAACUAACAGGUGCAGAGCUCUGGGCGCGGAGCUGAUUUUGGCCUCCCUACUGCGGCCGCUUUGCCCGUGGGUGUUAGCCUCACUCCUCUGCCGGCAGCCUCGCCAAGCCGUCCCGGAGAGAGCUAAAUCCUCUUGUUUCAGGAGCUGCAACUCCUAGCCGUGCACUUAGGCUCCAAGCGGCCGGGGCAGAGGGAGGAAAGCCCGGCCACGCAGGGCUCCAGGGCCGGCGGCGCUCUCCCGGCCGGGAGAUCCCCCACCCCCUUCCCCAGCAGCGCAGCGCCCGAGCGGGGCGGGCGGGCUGCCGCGGGGAGAUGGCGCCAGGUAGCAGCUCCGAGCGGGCGGCCGCUGUCGCCGCCUCAGGGUGAGGGGCGGCGAGGCCAGGCCGGGCCCGGCUGGGCUGCCCCGCACCCCCGCCCCAGCCGGGAGCAGCGCCACGCGCCUCUUCCACAACUCCUCCUCCUCAGCCUUAUCGAGCGCCGGAGGCUGCUCGCGGCGCGGGGAGCGCAGGGGAUACAAACAAGUGUGUGCGGCGCUGGGGGAGGGGGAUCCCUGCUCCCGCUCCGGGAAAACGAGGUCUUAAACAGCUUUUGGCAUUGGUGCUGGCCAGUAGCUCAGGCUCUGCAGCUGUGA
rnacentral:lncRNA from 12 species